rnacentral:rRNA from 1 species
AUUGAACGCUGGCGGCAUGCCUUACACAUGCAAGUCGAACGGCAGCACGGGAGCAAUCCUGGUGGCGAGUGGCGAACGGGUGAGUAAUAUAUCGGAACGUGCCCAGUAGUGGGGGAUAACUGCUCGAAAGAGCAGCUAAUACCGCAUACGACCUGAGGGUGAAAGGGGGGGAUGGCAAGACCUCUCGCUAUUGGAGCGGCCGAUACCAGAUUAGCUAGUUGGUGGGGUAAAGGCCUACCAAGGCAACGAUCUGUAGUUGGUCUGAGAGGACGACCAGCCACACUGGGACUGAGACACGGCCCAGACUCCUACGGGAGGCAGCAGUGGGGAAUUUUGGACAAUGGGCGCAAGCCUGAUCCAGCAAUGCCGCGUGCAGGAAGAAGGCCUUCGGGUUGUAAACUGCUUUUGUCAGGGAAGAAAUCCUCUAGGUUAAUACCCUUGGGGGGAUGACGGUACCUGAAGAAUAAGCACCGGCUAACUACGUGCCAGCCGCCGCAGUAACAC